rnacentral:rRNA from 1 species
AUGCAUGUCUUAGUACAAGCUCUCCCGAGCGAAACUGCGGAUGGCUCAUUAAAUCAGUUAUGGUUCAUUGGAUCGAGUCCCCCGACAUGGAUAACUGUGGUAAUUCUAGAGCUAAUACAUGCGUCCAAGCGCCGACUUCAAGAAGGCGUGCUUUUAUUAGGAACAAGACCAGCCCGGCCCCGGCCGGCAACACUGGUGAACUCUGGAUAACACAGCCGAUCGCACGGUCUUCGCACCGGUGACGGAUCCUUCGAAUGUCUGCCCUAUCAACUUUCGAUGGUACGUUAUGCGCCUACCAUGGUCGUCACGGGUAACGGAGAAUCAGGGUUCGAUUCCGGAGAGGGAGCCUGAGAAACGGCUACCACA